UAGGAAGCCAGCGUGUGACGUCAGAUGUAACGUCACUUCCGUACAGUAUUUAAAACGCCGUGAAGUGGCGCGCAUCUUCCUACAGAAGAAAUGUAUACACGUGCUGCACUGCAGCAGCUGGUGACCGGAAGUAACGUUCCACCCGGGAAGCGGCUUGUGAGAAGACCGAUGCGGAUGUUACCCGCUGCCGCCGGCCUCCACCAAACCAAGGCGGCCAGAUUUUGAAUUGGUUCUGGACCACCAACCCGAGGCACCCCUGCAAGUGUCCCAAGGCACCCCAGGGAGCCACGGCACACAGUUUGGGAACCACUGCACUGGGCGAUAAUACUCAAAGAUAUGACCGAUCUUAGUAUCUAUCGAUUGGGUGUGAUGCUGGUUUUCCAGCCAUGCCCUGGCUUCUGACUCCUGUUUCUAAACCCCUUACUCGAGCUGAUAAAAAGUACAACAAAGCACAUGUAGCGGACUUUUGGCCUGUUGAAAAGGCAGCUACUCUAUUGAAUGUUGACGUUUUUGGGUACCUGAAAGAAAAUGGUUUGCUUUAUCCAUUAGCAAAUUUGCAAGAAGCCAAUGUCUUCAAACACGGACAGAUGUGUGGGUGACAUUAAAAGCGAGCAUCAGGAUCCAGUGCUGCAGACUUUUGUCUCCGAAGCUGCCGGACUCUGUUUAUUGACUUCAGUGCACAGGGCAGGUACUCUAUUGAAUGUUGAGGUUUUUGGGUACCUGAAAGAGAAAAUGGUUUGCUUCAUCCAUUAGCAAAUUUGCAAGAGGAAGCCAAUGUCUUGAAACACGGAGGACAGCUGUGUGGGUGACAUUAAAAGCAAACAUCAGGAUCCAGUGCUGCGGACUAUUGUGUCUCCGAAGCUGCCGGACUCAAUGUUUAUUGACUUCGGUGC